UACGAAGGGGGCUAGCGUUACUCGGAUUGACUGGGCGUAAAGGGCGCGUAGGCGGAUGGUACAGUCAGACGUGAAAUUCCUGGGCUCAACCUGGGGGCUGCGUUUGAUACGUGCUGUCUGGAGUUCGGAAGAGGGUCGUGGAAUUCCCGGUGUAGAGGUGAAAUUCGUAGAUAUUGGGAAGAACACCGGUGGCGAAGGCGGCGACCUGGUCCGAUACUGACGCUGAGGCGCGAAAGCGUGGGGAGCGAACAGG
rnacentral:rRNA from 1 species